rnacentral:rRNA from 1 species
GACGAACGCUGGCGGCGUGCUUAACACAUGCAAGUCGAACGGAAAGGCCCUGCUUUUGUGGGGUGCUCGAGUGGCGAACGGGUGAGUAACACGUGAGUAACCUGCCCUUGACUUUGUGAUAACUUCAGGAAACUGGGGCUAAUACCGGAUAGGAGCUCCUGCUGCAUGGUGGGGGUUGGAAAGUUUCGGCGGUUGGGGAUGGACUCGCAGCUUAUCAGCUUGUUGGUGGGGUAGUGGCUUACCAAGGCUUUGACGGGUAGCCGGCCUGAGAGGGUGACCGGCCACAUUGGGACUGAGAUACGGCCCAGACUCCUACGGGAGGCAGCAGUGGGGAAUAUUGCACAAUGGGCGGAAGCCUGAUGCAGCAACGCCGCGUGCGGGAUGACGGCCUUCGGGUUGUAAACCGCUUUCGCCUGUGACGAAGCGUGAGUGACGGUAAUGGGUAAAGAAGCACCGGCUAACUACGUG